ACAAAUUGGAGAUGGAGAUGCGAAGGGGAGGCAUAAAUGGAGCAUGAAGCAGCUGCCAAGAAUCUUGGGAAAGGCUUUGCAUCUUCUUUUUGAUUCCAAUUUUUUCCCUAUCUCUUCAAUUUUGUGAACCCUAAGUUCUCCACCAUGGAGAGUUUUUCCUAUUUGUUGAGAUGAAUUGUAAAUCAUGGAAUUCUUAUGUAUUUUGUGAUGUUAAU
rnacentral:lncRNA from 1 species